rnacentral:rRNA from 1 species
CAAUAUAAGUGAUGGCGACCGGCGCACGGGUGAGUAACACGUAUCCAACCUGCCGAUAACUCGGGGAUAGCCUUUCGAAAGAAAGAUUAAUACCCGAUAGUAUAAUAAAACCGCAUGGUUUAAUUAUUAAAGAAUUUCGGUUAUCGAUGGGGAUGCGUUCCAUUAGGUUGUUGGUGAGGUAACGGCUCACCAAGCCUUCGAUGGAUAGGGGUUCUGAGAGGAAGGUCCCCCACAUUGGAACUGAGACACGGUCCAA